CCCUUAGAUGUUCUGGGCCGCACGCGCGCUACACUGACAGAGCCAGCGAGUUAUUUCACCUUGGCCGGAAGGCUCCGGGUAAUCUUGUGAAACUCUGAUCGUGCUUUGGGAUCGAGCAUUGCAAUUAUUGCUCGUGAACGAGGAAUACCUAGUAAGCGCAAGUCAUCAGCUUGCGUUGAUUACGUCCCUGCCCUUUGUACACACCGCCCGUCGCUCCUACCGAUUGAAUGUUCCGGUGAGCUCUUCGGACUGCGCGGUCUGCAGUUUCUGCGUUCCGUGCGGAAAGUUGCGCAAACCUUAACAUUUAGAGGAAGGAGAAGUCGUAACA
rnacentral:rRNA from 1 species